rnacentral:rRNA from 1 species
AGUCGUAACAAGGUCUCCGUAGGUGAACCUGCGGAGGGAUCAUUACACAAAUAUGAAGGCGGGCUGGAACCUCUCGGGGUUACAGCCUUGCUGAAUUAUUCACCCUUGUCUUUUGCGUACUUCUUGUUUCCUUGGUGGGUUCGCCCACCACUAGGACAAACAUAAACCUUUUGUAAUUGCAAUCAGCGUCAGUAACAAAUUAAUAAUUACAACUUUCAACAACGGAUCUCUUGGUUCUGGCAUCGAUGAAGAACGCAGCGAAAUGCGAUAAGUAGUGUGAAUUGCAGAAUUCAGUGAAUCAUCGAAUCUUUGAACGCACAUUGCGCCCUUUGGUAUUCCAAAGGGCAUGCCUGUUCGAGCGUCAUUUGUACCCUCAAGCUUUGCUUGGUGUUGGGCGUCCUGUCUCUAGCUUUGCUGGAGACUCGCCUUAAAGUAAUUGGCAGCCGGCCUACUGGUUUCGGAGCGCAGCACAAGUCGCACUCUCUAUCAGCAAAGGUCUAGCAUCCAUUAAGCCUUUUUUUUCAACUUUUGACCUCGGAUCAGGUAGGGAUACCCGCUGAACUUAAGCAUAUCAAUAGGAAGUAAAAGUCG